GCCACGGGUGUGGCCCAAAAAAGGCAGAUAAGUAAAUCUAUGUCUCCUAUAAAACAAACAAGGUGACAUUUAUUUUGUCCCUACUAAGGUAUAUUUUUGAAGGUAGCAUCUUUUUGGGGGUGGGGGUAGGGAAGAAUUUCUCAGGUGUGGACUACGCGAUAGGCAGUCCUUCGGGGAAAGGUGGCCUGGCUCUGCGGACCCCCAGGUCUGUGGUCAGGAUUGAGGACUACAGCUCCCAGGAGGCCAAGCACAGCAGUGACCCGACCCACUGGGGGCUUCCGCGGGCACUCACGUGGGUGGGGAGGCCACGCACGCGUCCUUCUGGGAAAUGUAGUCAGGUUUCUGGACCCCCGCCCCUGCUUCCGCCCGUAGCCGGGUCAUAAUUGCCAGAAGAACCAGCACGGCGGCCACCCAAGCACCGGACUCCCUUCAUGCACCACAAGGGAACUCUCCUGAGGUUCCACCAUCGUCCACCGCUUGUGUGGAGACCAGGCUGUCGUCAGCGGCCUCCCGAAGCCUGGAGACAAUGGACUACAAUUCCCGAAAUGCCUCGCGCCUAGGGGCCGCAGACUGGAGCCACCCACUGGCAUCGCGGAGCGCCCUGGGAGAUGUAGUCAGAAGCUCUAAGUACUCACGCACGCCGCCUGGCGGACAAGGCUAAUGUGAAUUUGAGUCCCUAGAACACCCAGAACGCUCAUCUUCGGGCCGCGCAGACUGUGGUGGACGCCCGCCCAAGUGUCGCUUCCGUGUCCUACAGCAGGAGAAACUGGUCUAAGUGUGGUCUAGCCCUGGCCCGGGAACCUGGACCGAAUGCCGGAAAGCUCCAUUUCCAGCCAAGGUCCGGCCGCGCACACUCAUUUUGGGGGUCGCGCCUAUCGCCGUGCCGUCUGGAAGAUGUCAUCGGGCUCUCGGGCGCCCUCGGGUGGCGGUCCGGCCGUAGCACUACAGCCCCUGGGAGGUGUUCAGGACAGAAACCUAAUUGACAAGACCAGGAUUCAGCUAAAGUACAACCUUUAAAGUACUCUCCAAAUUCGCAGUUUACCCAGCUUCGAAUAAAAUUUCCAUUCCGGUAAGAUACUGAUCCUUU
rnacentral:lncRNA from 1 species